UGUGUGACUCCUCCCCCUUCGGUGGAACCACAAGUCCCAGUGCCGCGAAAGCUCGUGUGUGCACGCGCCUCUCAGUGACUAUCAUUUUCUAUUCUUGGGCAGCCGCACCCUUUCUCUGCGGUACACGCUGGGGUUAGGAAGAGCAACACGUUAAUUAUCUCCACCUACUGAAUAUCGAGAGCACUAUAAGAGACCAGGUUUUGCACUGAACAAUAUUGUUUUUGCUAUAAUGUUAUUGUUUGGCCGGAAGUGCAGCGGUUUCCAGACUCGGCGUGUGACAGCGGGCAGGUAGAGGCGGGAGUGUAUAUGAACUCGCAUCUGAUCCUCAACGAGAAUUAUAGUGAUCAUCCUAUGUGGUGACAGGACGUUAUUUCCUAUCUGCAGCAUUCACCUGCUCGUUUUUCAACGUUGUGGAGCCGGCCGGUCCAUUAGUUGAUGCAGCCACCCCAGUGCUAAGGGGCAAGGAAUUGGACACUUUUCACCAGCGUGAUCCCGGAGACAGCUAUAAAUAUCUCAGCAACAGGGAGAGGUACUAAUAUAUGGGUGCAGUGCUGACUGUACCCUAAGUGCUUGCUGGAGUUCUAAUUGUGCUGCAUUGCAUACAAGUUAUGCUUAUUGCUUACAAGGCUAACAAUUCUUUGGAAUGAACUGCUUAUUAAAGCAAAACAUGCUGAUUUUGGUCCUAAUUCUGAGUUGAUCGCAGCAUCAAAUUUGUUAACAGUUGGGCAAAACCAUGUGCAGUGCAGGAUGGGGGCAGAUAUAACAUGUGAAGAGAGAGUUAGAUUUGGGUGGGGUGUGUUCAAACUGAAAUCUAAAUUGCAGUGUAAAAAAAAAAAAAGCAGCCAGUAUUUACCCUGCACAGAAACAAUAUAACCCACCCAAAUCUAACUCUUUCUGCGAAUGAUAUAUCUGCCCCCCCUGCAGUGCACAUGGUUUUGCCCAAUUGCUAACAAAGAAUUACCCCCUUAAUCCAUACUAACCCACAUUAAUGAUCCAAGUUUGUGCUGGACUUUUUAUGCUAAUUUGCUUGGCCCGUGUGCUUUUAAACUCAUAUUUAAUGAAUAUUAAAAGAAAGUGCUUCUAACCAGGAAGGAUAUGCAUGCUGAACUAACCUGCUUAUAGCAAAACAGGAUUUGAGGUCAUUUCCAGGGAUACAUCCCACAAGGGAUUAAGAUCUAAUAUAAUCCUCCAAUUCUGGAAAGAGAUGAUCGCAUGUGCGUAGUUUUAGGUGUUAUUAGAACAUCAUAAACAUUAUAAAUAUUGUGAUGAUGGCAAUGUUUUGUUCAUUUUGAUACUGGCCGGUAUCUAUUUUUAUUAUUGUG